rnacentral:rRNA from 1 species
CACUCCUACGGGAGGCAGCAGUGGGGAAUAUUGGACAAUGGGCGCAAGCCUGAUCCAGCCAUGCCGCGUGAGUGAUGAAGGCCCUAGGGUUGUAAAGCUCUUUCACCGGUGAAGAUAAUGACGGUAACCGGAGAAGAAGCCCCGGCUAACUUCGUGCCAGCAGCCGCGGUAAUACGAAGGGGGCUAGCGUUGUUCGGAUUUACUGGGCGUAAAGCGCACGUAGGCGGACUAUUAAGUCAGGGGUGAAAUCCCGGGGCUCAACCCCGGAACUGCCUUUGAUACUGGUAGUCUUGAGUUCGAGAGAGGUGAGUGGAAUUCCGAGUGUAGAGGUGAAAUUCGUAGAUAUUCGGAGGAACACCAGUGGCGAAGGCGGCUCACUGGCUCGAUACUGACGCUAAGGUGCGAAAGCGUGGGGAGCAAACAGGAUUAGAUACCCUAGUAGUCCCAUGA